UACAGAGGGGGCAAGCGUUGUUCGGAAUUACUGGGCGUAAAGGGCGCGUAGGCGGCCGAUCAAGUCGGGGGUGAAAGCCUGUGGCUCAACCACAGAAUUGCCUUCGAUACUGUUUGGCUUGAGACCGGAAGAGGUUAGUGGAACUGCGAGUGUAGAGGUGAAAUUCGUAGAUAUUCGCAAGAACACCAGUGGCGAAGGCGGCUGACUGGUCCGGUUCUGACGCUGAGGCGCGAAAGCGUGGGGAGCAAACAGG
rnacentral:rRNA from 1 species